GAUCACACCAGUGACAUGAGAGUUGCUCUGGUAGCAGUGGAAAUGCUACUUGUAAAACCAUCCUUAGCUCCAGGAUCGUAGAGCUAUCACUGAGACAAUUGCGCAGUGAGUGACAAGAGAGAUAAGCGGAGAAUGUGAGCCAUCUAUGAGACAGAGACACACAGGAGCAAUACCAGGAGUAAAGCAAGCUGAGAGCCGGAACAAUAUAAGAAAAGAGCCUACCAUGUGCCAGAGGACAACUUCAAUAAAAAACACCAGGUCAGCGGAUAAGACCAUGUCACUCACAGGUUUGUGACUUGAGGCCUGAGCACCAAUGAUCCACUCCACAUCAGUGGAGAAUGUUGGAAAGUAAGGACGCUGUGGACAUUUUCUGAAGUUGGAGAAAUGGAAUGGUGGAGAAGCCAGUAUUGGGGUACCAUGAGUGGAGCAGAGUUGACUACAAAUCUCAAUAAAGCUUUUCAACUGUAUACCUAACUGCAAAGUCAUUUACU
rnacentral:lncRNA from 1 species